AGGCCCGUAGUCUAGGGGUAUGAUGCCGGACUCACUAUCCGGAGGUCCCGGGUUCAAAUCCCGGCGGGCCUA
rfam:Candidatus Nanopusillus sp. Nst1 Nst1_C2, whole genome shotgun sequence.